AUUUUUCCCCAUUCUUUUGUUUCUCUCUCGUCUCUCACGCUCUCUCUCUCUAGCUCCAUACAAAACCCACAUGCUUCAACCCCAAAUCGAAGAUCAAGGCUGGUGAAUCUCUCAAAAAGACAAGAAGAAAAGUUGUUCUACGCGACAAGAACUUCAAAUCCAUCCAAAAAAAAAAAACCACCAUUGGAGUACCUUCGAAUUUCUCUCUCAUCCUAGGGCUUGGAUUGGAGGUAUCAACCAAGGUGUGUAGCGUGGAGUGCCGGGGUGCAUUGCCGGAUGUCCUUGAAGGCAUAUAAGAGAAAAGUUUCUUUAUCAAUUCGUUUAAUUAUGUUUUGAAGGUUAAGUGUAAUUUUAUUUAUACACCCUUUUGACUCGAUAUGUUUGUAAACAAUAAACUCUCGUCUUCGUCUCUCUUUCAGAACUUGUCUUCGUCUCUCUUUCAGAGCUUGUGGAUAUUUGGGCUGUAAUUCUUGAAGUUGAAUGUUGAAAGGAUGUAUGCAUGGUA